rnacentral:tRNA from 2 species
GGGCCCGUGGCCUAGCUGGAUCAUGGCGGCGGCCUUCGGAGCCGCAGGUCCUGGGUUCGAAUCCCAGCGGGCCCGCCA